UAUGCUAGUUGUCGGGAUCUUUAGGUCUCGGUGACGCAGGGAAACCGCUAAGCAUACCGCCUGGGGAGUACGGUCGCAAGAUUAAAACUCAAAGGAAUUGACGGGGACCCGCACAAGCGGUGGAGCAUGUUGUUUAAUUCGAAGCAACGCGAAGAACCUUACCCACACUUGACAUCCUUCUUGGGGCUUUCAGAGAUGAUCGCUUUCGGUUCGGCCGGGGAAGAGACAGGUGCUGCAUGGCUGUCGUCAG
rnacentral:rRNA from 1 species